GGACUACACGGGUAUCUAAUCCUGUUUGAUCCCCACGCUUUCGUGCCUCAGUGUCAAUGCAAGCUUAGUGAACUGCCUUCGCAAUCGGUGUUCUAUUACAUAUCUAAGCAUUUCACCGCUACAUGUAAUAUUCCAUCCACCUCAACUUGAUUCAAGUCCGUCAGUAUCAAUGGCAAUUCUGGAGUUGAGCUCCAGGCUUUCACCGCUGACUUAACAGACCACCUACGCACCCUUUAAACCCAGUGAAUCCGGAUAACGCUUGCACCCUCCGUAUUACCGCGGCUGCUGGCAC
rnacentral:rRNA from 2 species